UACGAAGGGGGCUAGCGUUGUUCGGAAUUACUGGGCGUAAAGCGCACGUAGGCGGAUAUUUAAGUCAGGGGUGAAAUCCCAGAGCUCAACUCUGGAACUGCCUUUGAUACUGGGUAUCUUGAGUAUGGAAGAGGUAAGUGGAAUUGCGAGUGUAGAGGUGAAAUUCGUAGAUAUUCGCAGGAACACCAGUGGCGAAGGCGGCUUACUGGUCCAUUACUGACGCUGAGGUGUGAAAGCGUGGGGAGCAAACAGG
rnacentral:rRNA from 1 species